rnacentral:rRNA from 1 species
UUUUCGCAAUGCCCGAAAGGGUGACGAAGCGACGCCGCGUGUGGGAAGAAGGUCUUCGGGUUGUAAACCACUGUCAGGAGUUAGGAAAUGCAGGGGAGUUAAUAGCUCUUCUGUUUGACUAAGGCUCCAGAGGAAGCCACGGCUAACUCUGUGCCAGCAGCCGCGGUAAUACAGAGGCGGCAAGCGUUGUUCGGAAUUAUUGGGCGUAAAGAGCACGUAGGCGGCCUUGCAAGUCAGUUGUGAAAGCCUUCCGCUCAACGGGAGAAUUGCAUCUGAAACUACAGACCUUGAGUGUAGGAGGGGAGAAUGGAACUUCUGGUGGAGCGGUGAAAUGCGUAGAUAUCAGAAGGAACGCCGGCGGCGAAAGCGACUCUCUGGACCGAAACUGACGCUGAGGUGCGAAAGCUAGGGGAGCAAACGGGAUUAGAUACCCCGGUAGUCCUAGCCGUAAACGAUGGGCACUAAGUAGAGGGGUUUUA